ACAUGAUUAUGAGGGAGUGUUGGCACGCUGUUCCUUCACAAAGACCCACGUUCAGACAGCUGGUGGAGGAUCACGACAGGGUUCUUUCCAUGACCUCCACUGACGAGUAUCUGGACCUAUCGGUGUCGUUCGAGCAGUACUCCCCUACCUGCCCAGACUCCAACAGCACCUGUUCCUCCGGCGACGACUCUGUGUUUGCUCACGACCCCUUACCUGACGAGCCCUGCCUCCCUAAACAUCACCUCCACAGCAAUGGGGUCAUACGAACAUAAGGGCCCAGGACAGAAAUGGUGGUUUGUGGGGACCUUCCGGUUCACUGCACUGGACCAGCAUGUGGCGGCAGUGCAGACGGGCUCCUGGUACAGUGUGGAUGUCAUGAAACGCUCAACGAGAAGCUUCAGACUUCAAACUGUUCACUGGUCUGAAGGACGGAUUACGCCCCUCUCCUUCAGCUCCUUUUCUUCCAAAUUAUUAUUCAGAUUUUUGUCUUUGAAAAGAGAAUUCCUAUUUUUGUAUUAGGCCAGUUUCGUUUUUCCUUUGCGCGACACAGUAAGAAGGGUCAAACCAUUCCGUGCCUACCAAAAA